GACGUAGGGCGCGAGCGUUGUCCGGAUUUAUUGGGCGUAAAGAGCUCGUAGGCGGCUUGUCGCGUCGUCCGUGAAAACCUGCAGCUCAACUGCAGGCUUGCGGUCGAUACGGGCAGGCUAGAGUUCGGUAGGGGAGACUGGAAUUCCUGGUGUAGCGGUGAAAUGCGCAGAUAUCAGGAGGAACACCGGUGGCGGAAGGCGGGUCUCUGGGCCGAUACUGACGC
rnacentral:rRNA from 1 species